rnacentral:rRNA from 1 species
UACGAAGGGGGGCUAGCGUUGCUCGGAAUCACUGGGCGUAAAGCGCACGUAGGCGGAUUUUUAAGUCAGGGGUGAAAUCCUGGAGCUCAACUCCAGAACUGCCUUUGAUACUGGGAAUCUCGAGUCCGGGAGAGGUGAGUGGAACUGCGAGUGUAGAGGUGAAAUUCGUAGAUAUUCGCAAGAACACCAGUGGCGAAGGCGGCUCACUGGCCCGGUACUGACGCUGAGGUGCGAAAGCGUGGGGAGCAAACAGG